CAGGUCCUCCCCUUACCAGUCUUGGACUGGCUCCAAGUGGAAACCAGGAGAUGUUAAGAAAGUCAGAUUGGAGACAAUCAGAGACGUUAAUAGAGCCAGUUGCCUAAAUAUUUACCAGCGUACUCCUGACUGAGAGAAAGGUAAAAUUUAGAGAGCCAGUUGCUAAAUAUUUACCAGCGCACUCCUGACUGAGAGAAAGGCUACACCCUACAUCAAGGGAUUCUCUGGGUUACCAUCUACUAACAACCACAGCUCAUGGGCCCCUGUCUCCAAUCAAGAGAUGGAGUGUCUUGUUCGAGGAACAAAAAAGGAGGCCAAUGUCAUUAGACUGAAAAGAAUAUGAUGGCAUAUAAGGUGUAAGAAGACCAGAAAGGCAGAGGGAGACAGGAUAUUUUGGUUAAAAGUAAGGAAGAAUUAUCUAGCAGAAAGUUGCUUAGUGCCCCUGAAAUUGUAGCUU